GACGUGCUCAGUCAGGGAUGGGAAAAAUUGCUUGCCGUAAAGGGCAUAGUUAUUCAUAUACGCUUACAUGCUACGAAGAAGUCGAACCUGAAGUCGAUAUAUACACAUAUACAAACACUGUUAGUGCAACAUGUUAUUUGAUGGAAUGAAGUGGUAUAAGCGCACAGCAUUAAUUUAUGCAAUCGGAACUUGGACUUUGCUUGGGUCUUGUGCAUAUUACACAUUGUACAAAAGCGACGCACGAGUCAUUAUACGUAAAGAAGAGGAGGAGGAGAAGGAUGCAACACCAAAUGUGAGAAUAUUUAAAUCAUCUCACAUGUCAACAAAAAUAACCUACAAGGAAGAUUUUGUCCCAUAUUCCACAAGAUUUCUGAAACUUUUCAAACCCAGAGACGAUGACACUUCAGGAAAUGAAAAUGAUGAAAAAUAAAAUUCAUGUCAUUUUAUAUUGCACUACUAUGCAAUGUAUUUUCUUACAUUGUCAUUGGAAUGUUUUCCAUGAAUGUACUUUAAAAUAAAAAUGUCUGGAAUAGCUUUUUAA